AGCGUUAAUCGGAAUUACUGGGCGUAAAGCGCACGCAGGCGGUCUGUCAAGUCGGAUGUGAAAUCCCCGGGCUCAACCUGGGAACUGCAUUCGAAACUGGCAGGCUUGAGUCUUGUAGAGGGGGGGAGAAUUCCAGGUGUAGCGGUGAAAUGCGUAGAGAUCUGGAGGAAUACCGGUGGCGAAGGCGGCCCCCUGGACAAAGACUGACGCUCAGGUGCGAAAGCGUGGGGAGCAAACAGGAUUAGAUACCCUGGUAGUCCACGCCGUAAACGAUGUCUACUUGGAGGUUGUGCCCUUGAGGCGUGGCUUCCGGAGCUAACGCGUUAAGUAGACCGCCUGGGGAGUACGGCCGCAAGGUUAAAACUCAAAUGAAUUGACGGGGGCCCGCACAAGCGGUGGAGCAUGUGGUUUAAUUCGAUGCAACGCGAAGAACCUUACCUGGUCUUGACAUCCACAGAACUUUCCAGAGAUGGAUUGGUGCCUUCGGGAACUGUGAGACAGGUGCUGCAUGGCUGUCGUCAGCUCGUGUUGUGAAAUGUUGGGUUAAGUCCCGCAACGAGCGCAACCCUUAUCCUUUGUUGCCAGCGGUCCGGCCGGGAACUCAAAGGAGACUGCCAGUGAUAAACUGGAGGAAGGUGGGGAUGACGUCAAGUCAUCAUGGCCCUUACGACCAGGGCUACACACGUGCUACAAUGGCGCAUACAAAGAGAAGCGACCUCGCGAGAGUAAGCGGACCUCAUAAAGUGCGUCGUAGUCCGGAUUGGAGUCUGCAACUCGACUCCAUGAAGUCGGAAUCGCUAGUAAUCGUGGAUCAGAAUGCCACGGUGAAUACGUUCCCGGGCCUUGUACACACCGCCCGUCACACCAUGGGAGUGGGUUGCAAAAGAAGUAGGUAGCUUAACCUUCGGGGGGGCGCUUACCACUUUGUGAUUCAUGACUGGGGUGAAGUCGUAACAAGGUAACCGUAGGGGAACCUGCGGUUG
rnacentral:rRNA from 1 species